rnacentral:rRNA from 1 species
CAAUUGCAACUUCCUGGGGCUCUCUGGUGAUUCAUGAUAACUUCUCGAAUCGCAUGGCCUUGCGCCGGCGAUGGUUCAUUCAAAUUUCUUCCCUAUCAACUUUCGAUGUUUGGGUAGUGGCCAAACAUGGUUGCAACGGGUAACGGAGGGUUAGGGCUCGACCCCGGAGAAGGAGCCUGAGAAACGGCUACUACAUCCAAGGAAGGCAGCAGGCGCGCAAAUUACCCAAUCCCGACACGGGGAGGUAGUGACAAUAAAUACUGAUACAGGGCUCUUUUGGGUCUUGUAAUUGGAAUGAGUACAAUUUAAAUCCCUUAACGAGGAACAAUUGGAGGGCAAGUCUGGUGCCAGCAGCCGCGGUAAUUCCAGCUCCAAUAGCGUAUAUUAAAGUUGUUGUGGUUAAAAAGCUCGUAGUUGAACCUUGGGCGUGGCUGGCCGGUCCGCCUCACCGCGUGCACUGGUCCGGCCGGGCCUUCCCUCUGUGAACCACCCUGCCUUUGCAUUGA